GGUUACCAUGCAAGCCGAGGGGUAUAGUUCUUUCGGGACUAGAGACCGGCGCACGGGUGCGUAACGCGUAUGCAACUUGCCCUACUGAAAAGGAUAGCCCUUCGAAAGGAGGAUUAAUACUUUAUAACAGAUUUAAUGGCAUCAUUAGAUUUUGAAAGAUUUAUCGCAGUAGGAUAGGCAUGCGUAAGAUUAGUUAGUUGGUGAGGUAACGGCUCACCAAGACGAUGAUCUUUAGGGGGCCUGAGAGGGUGAACCCCCACACUGGUACUGAGACACGGACCAGACUCCUACGGGAGGCAGCAGUGAGGAAUAUUGGACAAUGGGUGGAAGCCUGAUCCAGCCAUCCCGCGUGUAGGAUGACGGCCUUAUGGGUUGUAAAACUACUUUUAUCUGGGGAUAAACCUACUUACGUGUAAGUAGCUGAAGGUACCAGAAGAAUAAGCACCGGCUAACUCCGUGCCAGCAGCCGCGGUAAUACGGAGGGUGCAAGCGUUAUCCGGAUUUAUUGGGUUUUAAAGGGUCCGUAGGCGGAUUAAUCAGUCAGUGGUGAAAUCUCAUAGCCUUAACUAUGAAACUGCCAUUGAUACUGGUUAGUCUUGAGUGAUGUUGAANUUGCUGGAAUGUGUAAUGUACCGGUGAAAUGCUUAAAUAUUACCCAAAACCCCAUUGCGAAGGCAGGGGACUAAACUUUACUGAC
rnacentral:rRNA from 1 species